AGAGUUUGAUCCUGGCUCAGAUUGAACGCUUGUGGAAUGCUUUACACAUGCAAGUCGAACGAUGAACCUUAGCUUGCUAAGGGGAUUAGUGGCGAACGGGUGAGUAAUAUAUCGGAACGUGCCUUGUAAUGGGGGAUAACUAGUCGAAAGAUUACCUAAUACCGCAUACGCCCUGAGGGGGAAAGUAGGGGAUCUUCGGACCUUACGUUAUAAGAGCGGCCGAUAUCUGAUUAGCUAGUUGGUGGGGUAAUGGCCUACCAAGGCGACGAUCAGUAGCUGGUCUGAGAGGACGACCAGCCACACUGGAACUGAGACACGGUCCAGACUCCUACGGGAGGCAGCAGUGGGGAAUUUUGGACAAUGGGCGCAAGCCUGAUCCAGCCAUUCCGCGUGAGUGAAGAAGGCCUUCGGGUUGUAAAGCUCUUUCGCAAGGGAAGAAAACUUACUUUCUAAUAAAGAGUGAGGCUGACGGUACCUUGAUAAGAAGCACCGGCUAACUACGUGCCAGCAGCCGCGGUAAUACGUAGGGUGCGAGCGUUAAUCGGAAUUACUGGGCGUAAAGCGUGCGCAGGCGGUUUGGCAAGUCAGAUGUGAAAUCCCCGAGCUCAACUUGGGAACUGCGUUUGAAACUGCCAGACUAGGAUAUGCCAGAGGGGGGUAGAAUUCCACGUGUAGCAGUGAAAUGCGUAGAGAUGUGGAGGAAUACCAAUGGCGAAGGCAGCCCCCUGGGAUAAUAUUGACGCUCAUGCACGAAAGCGUGGGGAGCAAACAGGAUUAGAUACCCUGGUAGUCCACGCCCUAA
rnacentral:rRNA from 1 species